rnacentral:tRNA from 1 species
GUAAGUGCAGCUCGUUAGCGAGCAUCGGUCUUGUAAGUCGAAGGUUAAAUUAAACUAUUUCACUUGCU